UAGUGCACCUGUACUCAUUCUGCCAGACCACAAUAAACAGUUUAUAGUUGAAGUAGAUGCGUCAGAUACAGGUGUGGGGGCUGUUUAUCUCAAGUUUCUGGUUCUGAUAACAAGACUCACCCAUGUGCCUUUUUUUCUCGUAGACUGUCCUCACCGGAGCAAAACUAUGAUGUGGGCGAUCGAGAAAAUUGACCCUGGUGGAGUGGCAGCACUGGUUGGAGGGUGCUGCACAUCCCUUGGUGGUGUGGACAGAUCAUAAAAAUCUUGCUUAUCUCAAAUCUGCUAAAAAACUCAAUCCCCAUCAGUCCCGCUGGUCACUAUUCUUUUCCAGAUCCAAUCUUGCCAUCUCUUUUCGCCCCGGUUCCCGUAAUGUUAAACCUGAUGCAUUGUCCCGCAUCCACUCUCCAGAUGAGGAGGAUAAGGCUCCUGCCACGAUUCUACCUCCCAGUUGCACUGUAGCUGCGGUCACAUGGGAGAUAGAGGACCUGAUCAAACAAGCGCAACAAUCCAAACCGACCCCUGAUUCCUGUCCACAAGAUAAGAUCUAUGUUCCCUCAACAGUCCGAGCCCGGUUUAUACACUAGAUUCAUUCAUCCAAGUUUUCUGCGCACCCUGGCAUAAGUCACUCUAUCGCUCUCAUAAAUCAUAGAUUUUGGUGGCCAUUCAUUCACAAGGAUGUAAAAGAAUGUGUUUUAGCUUGCUUGGUCUGUUCUAGAAAUAAGCCAUCCCACCCACCUCCCUCGGGCCUCCUCCAACCCCUACACAUCCCCGGACAUCCCUGGUCCCACAUUCCCAUUGAUUUCAUCACCGGCUCACCUCAAUCUAAGGGCAUGACAACCAUUCUCACCAUAAUCGACCAUUUUUUGAAAGCCUGUCAUUUAGUUCCUCUUAGAAAAUUACCCACUGCUAAGGUUUCUCUGUCCUCAUGUUUCCAUCCACAGACAAAUGGUCAGACCGAACGCAUGACUCAGAAACUGGAAUCAACUUUCCGCUGCUUCAGACUCACAAACCCAUCUGACUGGAGCCAAUUCCUUCCCUGGGAUGAGUAUGUGCAUAAGAGUCAUGUAUCUGCCACCACUGGGUUGUCACUGUUUGAAAUUUCCAUAGGCUAUCAACCACCGCUUCUCUUCUCAGAAGAAAAAGACUUUGCUGUAACCUCACUACAACACCACAUCCGUUGCUGCAAAAAAAUCUGGAGUAACACUGUCCAUGCCCUCAACCGCACAGCUGAACAGAACAAUCGGCAAUCAGACCGCAGAAGGAUCCCUCCUCCCACCUACAUUUCGGGUCAGAAGGUUUGGUUGUCCUCACGUGACAUCCCGUUAAAUUACAUGUCCAAGAUACUGUCCCCUGGGUUUAUCAGUCCUUUUGAAAUUGAAUCUGUUAUCAGCCCAUCUGCAGUCUGCCUCCAUCUCCAAGCCUCUAUAUGCAUCCCAGCUUCCACGUUUCUCAAAUCAAGCCCAUCCUGACCAGUACUCUCUGCCCUCCUUCCGAGCACCCUCCUACCACCCAUGACGUGGAUGGCCAUCCGGCCUAUUCUGUUCGCCGCAUCGUGGACUCCCAUCGGCGAGGUUGUGGUUGGCAGUACCUCAUCGACUGGGAGGGCUAUGGUCCGGAGGAUAGUUCUUGGGUUGCUGGCUUGUUCAUUUUGGACCCGUCCCUUUUAACUGAUUACCAUCGCUCUCUCCAUUCUAGUUCCUCUCGGCCGCCAGGUGGCGACCGUUGAGGGGGGGUGCUGUUCGGAACCUGGGUUCUUUGCAGUUUUUUUCUUUUUUGGUUUCACUAUCCAUCCACCAGAUAGCACCAGAUGCUGCUCCUCCUGGCAGCGUGUGCCAGUCUCCUACGUUCCUGUUCUUCAUCUUCUCAUCAUCUCUGGAGUUUAAGAAGAGCUGACUGCCAGUUCUCGGACGCCUGAGUGUUUGCCAGCAAUGGUGAAAUCAUCAAGACGCAAAGUUUCCUCUGUGAGAAGUUUUUUCCUCUGGUUUCCUGGAACCUACCUCCUCAUGACGCCAUGAAAAUUACCCACUGGUUGCCCGAGGUCCUUCCCUGUUUCUUCAGUUGGACCAAGCCAUUUUCUGAGAACCCUGACAGGCAGUCGGACCGCUCCUCUGUCUCCAACCGCCAGAACUUACCUGUCCGCCCUCCACUGCAGCCUCUUCCACUCCUUCCGGAUAAACUUAUCCGAGCGAACUUAGAAGAAGACCCCUCUGUCAAAUCUGAACCCAACCCAGCAUGAUUCCCUCUCAGGCCAGAACCGCCAGCUCCACAAUGUGCCGCCUACUCCAAGAGCCGUUCCCUGGAAACUGUUUCCC